UCCCUGGCAGUCCAGUGGCUAGGAUUCUGCACUUACACUGCAGGGGGUACAGGUUCAACCCCUAGUUGGGGAA
rnacentral:tRNA from 1 species